AGGCUCAGAGCGAACGCUGGCGGCAGGCCUAACACAUGCAAGUCGAACGAACUCUUCGGAGUUAGUGGCGGACGGGUGAGUAACACGUGGGAACGUGCCUUUAGGUUCGGAAUAACUCAGGGAAACUUGUGCUAAUACCGAAUGUGCCCUUCGGGGGAAAGAUUUAUCGCCUUUAGAGCGGCCCGCGUCUGAUUAGCUAGUUGGUGAGGUAAAGGCUCACCAAGGCGACGAUCAGUAGCUGGUCUGAGAGGAUGAUCAGCCACAUUGGGACUGAGACACGGCCCAAACUCCUACGGGAGGCAGCAGUGGGGAAUCUUGCGCAAUGGGCGAAAGCCUGACGCAGCCAUGCCGCGUGAAUGAUGAAGGUCUUAGGAUUGUAAAAUUCUUUCAGUAGGGACGAUAAUGACGGUACCUACAGA
rnacentral:rRNA from 1 species